ACACAAUGGGGACUGGAGAGAUCAACACAAUGGGGACUGGAGAGAUCAACACAAUGGGGACUGGUGAGAUCAACACAAUGGGGGCUGGUGAGAUCAACACAAUGGGGACUGGAGAGAUCAACACAAUGGGGACUGGAGAGAUCAACACAAUGGGGACUGGAGAGAUCAACACAAUGGGGACUGGAGAGAUCAACACAAUGGGGACUGAAGAGAUCAACACAAUGGGGACUGGAGAGAUCAACACAAUGGGGACUGGAGAGAUCAACACAAUGGGGACUGGAGAGAUCAACACAAUGGGGGCUGGUGAGAUUGCUGGUAAAUUUCUUCAACAAAUGAUCAGGUCUAUGACAUUAUUAACCAUACAUUAGUAAUGGGAAGGAAACACUCUUUGUUUACGUAUUAAAAUACUCCUUUAGUAAUACAAUGGUAGGCAGAAGUUGGUACAGAGUACAGUAUAACAGUAUAUGAUAGCUCUCCCCAGGUUCUGCAAAAUGUCUAAGGCAUCCUGUAACUCAUAUAGCCUCCCCAAUCCCUCUUGCGUGACUUUCCCUGGCAACAACAUUUUAAUAGAUCUAACCUCCCCUGACAGCAGCAACCAUCUUAUCAGCAAUUAAAAGCUCAGAAGUGGGUUUGACAGAAGCUUGACCUUUCAUCAGUAUAGAGUCAUAACAAGGUGAACGAGUCUAAGCAUCUUCUGACAGGUGGCUGGUUUCAUCAGGUCUGUGGCAGCCUUGUGUUCUCAGAGAACCAGACAACCACGGUGGGAUCCAGACAGGAGGAGUCUGAAUGUAGACGCCUUCUGAUAGUGCCUGAAGGGCAAAACACUCAAAAACAGGUUUUAACACACACACACAGAGGUUUUAUAAGAAACAUCCAUAAAAGGUGCGUUAGAUUUCAAACAAUCCUCAGGAGAUUGAGGAUAGAAAUAAGGGCCUGGGGGGGGAGGAACAUGAAGCCAGGGGGAUGAGGAACAUGAAGCCAGGGGGAUGAGGAACAUGAAGCCAGGGGGAUGAGGAACAUGAAGCCAGGGG
ensembl:lncRNA